rnacentral:rRNA from 1 species
ACGCACGCUGGCGGCGUGCUUAACACAUGCAAGUCGAACGGAAAGGCCCUGCUUUUGUGGGGUGCUCGAGUGGCGAACGGGUGAGUAACACGUGAGUAACCUGCCCUUGACUUUGGGAUAACUUCAGGAAACUGGGGCUAAUACCGGAUAGGAGCUCCUGCUGCAUGGUGGGGGUUGGAAAGUUUCGGCGGUUGGGGAUGGACUCGCGGCUUAUCAGCUUGUUGGUGGGGUAGUGGCUUACCAAGGCUUUGACGGGUAGCCGGCCUGAGAGGGUGACCGGCCACAUUGGGACUGAGAUACGGCCCAGACUCCUACGGGAGGCAGCAGUGGGGAAUAUUGCACAAUGGGCGGAAGCCUGAUGCAGCAACGCCGCGUGCGGGAUGACGGCCUUCGGGUUGUAAACCGCUUUCGCCUGUGACGAAGCGUGAGUGACGGUAAUGAGUAAAGAAGCACCGGCUAACUACGUG